GGACAGUAAAAUGCUGACAGUUAUCACCCCCACUGAUUUCCAAGGUUGACUUGGCUGAUAUGGCUGGGUAGACAGAUGUCCCGCUCCACGUUUGUUCCUCCCAAAGCUGUAGACUUGGUCAAAACCAAUAACUUUCCCUAGUAAUAUUGUUCUACAGUCAAGGAUCUGAGAGAAUACAAGGAAGACUCUUCUGGGUAAGAGUCAGUAGAAAUGUAUCUGGUUUUUAAGGGAAUAGAAGAAAAAUUUACUAUCUUCAAAGUAAGAUAGUUCCUUUCACUCUUCUUGUCCCACCAACUUUCGGUUUACUAACUGGUAACCAAAUGGCU
rnacentral:snRNA from 1 species